CAAGCUUCCUUGAGCCGACCCCAGAAAUACUUGAGUCGACCCCAAUAGAGCCGACCCCAAGUGAACAUGAGCCGACCCCAAGGAUACAUUGCUCAAAAACCAUGUCUCUGGAAUCCCUGAGAGGGUCGACCCCAAUGGAACUUGAGUCGACCCCACUGUAGCUUGAGUUGAUCCUAAGAAAAGUUGAGUCGACCCAGUGAAAGAAGCUGAAAAUGCAAGUUUCUGUGGUUCCUGAGAGGGUUGACCCCAGAGGAAGUUGAGUCAACCCCAAGCCCAAUAUACAGUAAGUUGAGUCGACCCCAGUAAAGUUUGGAUCGACCCCAGCACGGGCAAGGGCAUAACGGCUAGUUCUGCAGAAGUACCUUUUGACCUCCCAAUAGCUAGUAACGGCUAGUUUUUGAAAUCUAACCAAUGGGGGGUGACCAAUAGAUGAGGAAAAGUAUUUAAAGUGACACUAUUCAUCAGAGGAACAUACACUUUUGCAAAAAGAUCGAAGCUCAUUCAAGAAAGAAAAAGCCCUAGCAUUCUUCAUUCAAGUGCUUCAUUCAAAGAGCCAAAAGAAAGUGGUUGAGCAGAUUCUGAGAGACACUAAGAGCUCCACCAACCCUUGAAGAGUGAAGCAAUCUUGACAAAGAAGAAAAAAGUCUUAUCAAAGCGAUAACUAUAUUCUAAACUCUUCUUUGUAGUUCAUAAUUAUUAUAUUUGCUCAUCUAGGAGUUUCAACUUUCUUCUUCUUAAUCACCUUGUAAGAUUUGUUGGUGAGCCCGUAAAACCAAUGGUGUAGAUUUGUUGGUGAACCCAUAAAACCAACGGUGAAGGUUUGUUGGUGAGCCCGUAAAACCAACAUAGGUUUUUGGUGAUCCCGGAAAACCAAAGUAUAAAGGUUUUUAGAUUGUGAGCCCGGAAAACAAUCCAACUGUAUUCCGUGGGAUUAUAGUGAAUUUCCAAGGGGACGCUUGGGGAGUGGACGUAGGUGGUUAGGAGAACACCGAACCACUAUACUUCUGGUGUGUU
rnacentral:lncRNA from 1 species